rnacentral:rRNA from 1 species
CGGUAAGGCCCCUUCGGGGGUACACGAGUGGCGAACGGGUGAGUAACACGUGGGUGAUCUGCCCUGCACUCUGGGAUAAGCCUGGGAAACUGGGUCUAAUACCAGAUAUGAACUCCUGUCGCAUGGCGGGGGUUGGAAAGGUUUACUGGUGCAGGAUGGGCCCGCGGCCUAUCAGCUUGUUGGUGGGGUAAUGGCCUACCAAGGCGACGACGGGUAGCCGGCCUGAGAGGGCGACCGGCCACACUGGGACUGAGACACGGCCCAGACUCCUACGGGAGGCAGCAGUGGGGAAUAUUGCACAAUGGGCGAAAGCCUGAUGCAGCGACGCCGCGUGAGGGAUGACGGCCUUCGGGUUGUAAACCUCUUUCAGCAGGGACGAAGCGAGAGUGACGGUACCUGCAGAAGAAGCACCGGCCAACUACGUGCCAGCAGCCGCGGUAAU